rnacentral:rRNA from 1 species
UACGUAGGUGGCCAACUAAGUCAGACGUGAAAUCCCUCGGCUUAACCGGGGAACUGCGUCUGAUACUGGAUGGCUUGAGUUUGGGAGAGGGAUGCGGAAUUCCAGGUGUAGCGGUGAAAUGCGUAGAUAUCUGGAGGAACACCGGUGGCGAAGGCGGCAUCCUGGACCAACACUGACACUGAGGAGCGAAAGCCAGGGGAGCAAACGGG